CGCUACGACCAUGUCACCUUGAAUAAGCCCGAUCUCGUCUGAUCUCGGUAGCUAAGCAGGGUCGGGCCUGGUUAGUACUUGGAUGGGAGACCACCUAGGAAGACCAGGUGCUGUAGGUG
rnacentral:rRNA from 1 species